rnacentral:rRNA from 1 species
GAUGAACGCUGGCGGCGUGCCUAAUACAUGCAAGUCGAGCGAACAGAUGAGGAGCUUGCUCCUCUGACGUUAGCGGCGGACGGGUGAGUAACACGUGGAUAACCUACCUAUAAGACUGGGAUAACUUCGGGAAACCGGAGCUAAUACCGGAUAAUAUAUUGAACCGCAUGGUUCAAUAGUGAAAGACGGUUUUGCUGUCACUUAUAGAUGGAUCCGCGCCGCAUUAGCUAGUUGGUAAGGUAACGGCUUACCAAGGCAACGAUGCGUAGCCGACCUGAGAGGGUGAUCGGCCACACUGGAACUGAGACACGGUCCAGACCCCUACGGGAGGCCGCAGUAGGGAAUCUUCCGCAAUGGGCGAAAGCCUGACGGAGCAACGCCGCGUGAGUGAUGAAGGUCUUCGGAUCGUAAAACUCUGUUAUUAGGGAAGAACAAAUGUGUAAGUAACUAUGCACGUCUUGACGGUACCUAAUCAGAAAGCCACGGCUAACUACGUG